ACAUUAGCUGCUCCUUUAUUGCACCCGAACCUCGGGCGACUGAAAAGCCACCGCCCCCACCCCAAACUGCGAGCCGCGCUCCUGGCGCACCCGCCUCCCGCCGGCCUAGCUGCAAUGACCGCACCGGCCCGAAGGUCUCGGUCUCUCCGACCCGGGAUGUGGAGCCCGAAAGAGUGGUGGGAACCCCAGCCCGGGAGGGACGCGGCCGCCGCUCGGGCCAGAUCCCCUUAUCCAGGCCACCUUUGGAAACCAGCCCACCUGCUACACCAACCUUUUCCCAACACCGUGGUCCCACCCCUACCUUCGCUGCUGAAAAACCGCAUUGUGUGGGGGUCUGGAAUCUUCUGGACUCCUGGGACCCCAAUCCGCUUGCCUCUUGUACCCCUCUUGCAGAGCAAUGAGCCGAUGGGGUGCCAGGCAUUAGAAACCUUCCCUCCAAUCCUCACCAUGUCUCCAUUUUGCCAAAGAAGAAACUGAGGUUAAGGUCGCGAUGCUCUGGCCAGCAUCACAGGUGGGAUUCGAACGCAGAUGGGGUUUGGAGCGGCUCUUGUGUUUAAGCCACACAGUCUGACGUUAGACGGGUGAAUCCAGCCCUCGCAGGGCCUGGAGUGACCUAAGCCGAGAGGAGCUGGGCUGAAUCUCCAGGCGUUCCUUUCUUUCUGCCCUAGGAAAGCUUUGAAAUUCUUAUUUUCAGGUAAACGAUUUUGGCAGUGCCCGGAGAAAGAUAGAAGUAAGACCUAAAGAGGAACUUUCCGCAUGUUAUGGGAGAGCCCCUGGGGCGAGGAGGCGAGGGCAGCCUUCCCCAGGCCAAGGGAGCAGCCAUCGCUCUUGGAUCUGUUUUUCCUCAAGCGUCUGUCCUGUGGGGCCUAGUCCCCAAGCGGCAGUCCUGGACCUAACGGGAGAAGGGGCUGGGGGAAGAGGGCGCACCCCCAGCCCGGGACCCACAGCAGCCCUAGCCAGUCCCCCACUCUCUCCCUCUGUAGGGGCCUCUCUCUGAGAUCGGGUCCUCCUCCUGCAGGGCAGCAGAGUGGAAGCCAGGGCCUGGGACCCUCUGGCUGGGCAAGGAGGGACUGGAGUCCGGCUCCCGGUGACCCCGUCCCCAGUGCCAGCGGUGGGGUCGCCUGUGGCGGCCCGGACAGGCCACGGGUCCCUCUCCCCAAGUCCCAUUACGUUGUAUUUAUGUUUCAUUUUAUAGUUUUUUUUUCCUCCUCCCUUAUUAUUGUCUCACUCUGGGGGAGGCAAAGGAUAUAAUAUAUUCAUCUUUAUUAUACCAAAUCUGUGUGAAGCAUUUAAUAAAACGCUGUUUCCACACAGCCAGGGAUAAAAAAAAAA
rnacentral:lncRNA from 1 species